GACGAACUGUGCGAACGUUAUUCGGGAUCACUGGGCUUACAGGGUGCGUAGGCGGCUUGUUAAGUAGGGUGUGAAAGCCCCCGGCUCAACCGGGGAAUGGCGCCCUAAACUGGCGAGCUAGAGUGAGAUAGGGGUGUGUGGAACUUCCGGUGGAGCGGUGAAAUGUGUUGAUAUCGGAAGGAACGCCGGUGGCGAAAGCGACACACUGGAUCUUGUCUGACGCUGAGGCACGAAAGCCAGGGGAGCGAACGGG
rnacentral:rRNA from 1 species